rnacentral:snoRNA from 1 species
AAUAAUAUAUGAUUAUCAUCGGAAUAAUUCUAUUUAUUUAACUUAAAGAAUUCUUCAAUUGUUAGUCCAGCUUCCCUGAUUAUUGCU